CGGUGUUCAACUGGCGUGUCCGCGGGACGUCCUGCCGGUGGGCUUAGCCCGCAAGGGCGGCCCAACUUCAAAUCCCAUCGCGGUGCUCUUCACUGAGUGUCGAGGUGGGCCGGCACGUUUACUUUGAACAAAUUAGAGUGCUUAAAGCAGGCUAAAACUUCGCCUGAAUACUGUGUGCAUGGAAUAAUGGAAUAGGACCUCGGUUCUAUUUUGUUGGUUUUCGGAACCCCGAGGUAAUGAUUAAUAGGAACGGAUGGGGGCAUUCGUAUUGCGACGUUAGAGGUGAAAUUCUUGGAUCGUCGCAAGACGUACAGAAGCGAAAGCAUUUGCCAAAAACGCUUUCAUUGAUCAAGAACGAAAGUUAGAGGUUCGAAGGCGAUCAGAUACCGCCCUAGUUCUAACCAUAAACGAUGCCAGCUAGCGAUCCGUCGACGUUCCUCCGAUGACUCGACGGGCAGCUUCCGGGAAACCAAAGCUUUUGGGUUCCGGGGGAAGUAUGGUUGCAAAGCUGAAACUUAAAGGAAUUGACGGAAGGGCACCACCAGGAGUGGAGCCUGCGGCUUAAUUUGACUCAACACGGGAAACCUCACCAGGCCCGGACACCGGAAGGAUUGACAGAUUGAGAGCUCUUUCUUGAUUCGGUGGGUGGUGGUGCAUGGCCGUUCUUAGUUGGUGGAGCGAUUUGUCUGGUUAAUUCCGAUAACGAACGAGACUCUAGCCUGCUAACUAGGCGUAUUUUCGACAUCUCAAAGGUCCGUCGUCCCGGCCCUCGGGUCGUGGGCGUGCGCGAUUUUUACUGUCGGCGUACUAUCAAUUCUUCUUAGAGGGACAGGUGGCUUCUAGCCGCACGAGAUUGAGCAAUAACAGGUCUGUGAUG
rnacentral:rRNA from 1 species